ensembl:lncRNA LINC02036 long intergenic non-protein coding RNA 2036
GGAGGGAGGAGUGUGGAAAGCAGGGCUUUAUGUCCACAUUGAUGGCAGCUCUGAAAAGCCGACCUACAUGCAGAGAAAGGCGGGAGGGGCUGCUGGGAGAAGUCUGCUGGAGCUUGUUCAUGCUGAGAGGUUGGGGGUGUGAUUUGAGGUGCGGAAGACCUACUUAAAACCUGAGAGUCUCGAAUAGGAGAGGCGCUUUCAGAUCAGCCCGAGUCUUCUGCAGCGCACAGGAGCUAGUCGUACUGAAAAGAAUGAAGUUGGACUUGUCCAGGCGAGUUUCGGACAGUGCUGGGCUGCCCUGCUCUGAUCUCCUGGGUGUCUUCACCUCCUCUGGUUCCUAAGUCGGCUGCUGCACCAGCACCCAUCAAACUCUCCUGGAAGAGGAAGUGACAGCUCACCGGUAGCCUAGAAGGCCCCUGUGGGCAGAAGCAUGGACUUACUCCUCCUCAUGGAGAUGCGGCUGAGCCAUAUUUCCUUGGCACCUCUCUGGAACCUUCGACAACCACCACCUCAGACACUAACCAGACUUUAGGUCCAUUCCUUUCAUGGCUAAAAUGAGACAGUCCACAAUGUUGAUUUUAUUUGUAGGGGAUGUCAGGAUUCCAGAAAAGCAGACUUGGAAAGCAACAAAACGUUAACUUGCAGCUCACUGAGGCCCUUACACUUGUUCUGGGCACCUCUGUAUGUUAAAAGAAGUCCAAUAUCUUUAGCUGCUGGUUAUAGGUGGCCAUAUGUUUCUGCACAGAAAUGGGGCUCCCCUUGCUAGACUAAUUUUCUAAUUUUUCCUCAAGCUUCAUUGAUUCAUAUUCUUCUACUUGACCCUGACUGUCAGGACCAACAACACCAAAUAACACCAAAGUCUCUUGCUCCUGUCCUCAGAACCUCUCAGAGGCAUCCUCUGCCCUGUUGGAGCCAUUUUAUUUCAGGUUGAUCCUUAAUUAAAUUCAGCGAGAUGCAGGACCUGUGUGUGUGAGUGUGGAUCUUGUGUGUGAAUGUGGACCUGUGUGUGUGAACGUGGGCCUGUGUGAGUGUGGGCCUGUGUGUGAGAGUGGACCUGUGUGUGUGAGUGUGGGCCUGUGUGUGAGUGUGGAUGUGUGUGUGUGAGUGUGGGCCUGUGUGUGUGAGUGUGGACCUGUGUGUGUGAGUGUGGGCCUGUGUGUGAGUGUGCAACUGUGUGUGUGUGAAUGUGGAUCUGUAUGUGAACAUGGACCUGUGUGUGUGUGUGUGGACCUGUGUGUGUGAAUGUGGAUCUGUAUGUGAACGUGGACCUGUGUGUGUGUGUGUGGACCUGUGUGUGUGAAUGUGGAUCUGUAUGUGUGAAUGUGGACCUGUGUGUGUGAGCAUGGUAUUUACAAUCAGCAGGAAGAAGCCUGGAAAUGAGUCCUGAUUAAAUGAGAAUCUAAAUACAGAACAAGUACCCUAGGAGUUCUAGAAAGAUGAAUAAUUCUCAACCCAGCAUAGUAACAGCAGCUUACAAUAUGUUUGUGUAUGUCAUAAUGGAGUGGUUUCUGUUACAUGUGUAAUGCUGGUAUCAUAAGAAGAGUAUUGUCAUGCUCACAGGAUGUCAGGUACAGAAGGUUAUAA